GGGUUGUGAGGUUAAGCGACUAAGCGUACACGGUGGAUGCCCUGGCAGUCAGAGGCGAUGAAGGGCGUGCUAAUCUGCGAUAAGCGCCGGUAAGGUGAUAUGAACCGUUAUAACCGGCGAUACCCGAAUGGGGAAACCCAGUGUGAUUCGUCACACUAUCAUUAACUGAAUCCAUAGGUUAAUGAGGCGAACCGGGGGAACUGAAACAUCUAAGUACCCCGAGGAAAAGAAAUCAACCGAGAUUCCCCCAGUAGCGGCGAGCGAACGGGGAGGAGCCCAGAGCCUGAAUCAGCAUGUGUGUUAGUGGAAGCGUCUGGAAAGGCGCGCGAUACAGGGUGACAGCCCCGUACACAAAAGCGCAUGUGCUGUGAGCUCGAUGAGUAGGGCGGGACACGUGGUAUCCUGUCUGAAUAUGGGGGGACCAUCCUCCAAGGCUAAAUACUCCUGAUUGACCGAUAGUGAACCAGUACCGUGAGGGAAAGGCGAAAAGAACCCCGGCGAGGGGAGUGAAAAAGAACCUGAAACCGUGUACGUACAAGCAGUGGGAGC
rnacentral:rRNA from 1 species